UGGGAAUUUUGGACAAUGGGCGAAAGCCUGAUCCAGCAAUGCCGCGUGUGUGAAGAAGGCCUUCGGGUUGUAAAGCACUUUUGUCCGGAAAGAAAUCCUUGGCUCUAAUACAGUCGGGGGAUGACGGUACCGGAAGAAUAAGCACCGGCUAACUACGUGCCAGCAGCUGCGGUAAUACGUAGGGUGCAAGCGUUAAUCGGAAUUACUGGGCGUAAAGCGUGCGCAGGCGGUUUGCUAAGACCGAUGUGAAAUCCCCGGGCUCAACCUGGGAACUGCAUUGGUGACUGGCAGGCUAGAGUAUGGCAGAGGGGGGUAGAAUUCCACGUGUAGCAGUGAAAUGCGUAGAGAUGUGGAGGAAUACCGAUGGCGAAGGCAGCCCCCUGGGCCAAUACUGACGCUCAUGCACGAAAGCGUGGGGAGCAAACAGGAUUAGAUACCCUGGUAGUCCACGCCCUAAACGAUGUCAACUAGUUGUUGGGGAUUCAUUUCCUUAGUAACGUAGCUAACGCGUGAAGUUGACCGCCUGGGGAGUACGGUCGCAAGAUUAAAACUCAAAGGAAUUGACGGGGUCAUAGCUGUUUCCU
rnacentral:rRNA from 1 species